GAGGUAAAACCGGUGUCAGAUCCCGUCGCUCGUCCCUUCUCCGUGUGCCGUGCCGUGCCGUGCCGGACUGCCGGUUGCUCCGGAGGAUUUAGUUGGAUGACCUCGGGUGCUCGGUUGAGAGGGUGCUCGGUUGACACCAGCGGCUCCCCGGGGUCAUGGAGGGACCAGAGACCCCCCGGGAACACACGCAGCGCGCCCGGUAGCGCUCAGCGGCUGAGGAGCAGCGGACGACAAAGACGGGGGAGGGGGCGACCCGACGGAUCACACGGGCCGGGGACAAGUGUUCACUAUGAUCGCGGCAUUUUUUCCCACGAAGAUUUUGGUGCGCAAUCGCAAACAUCUCGCGUUCGCCGCUCUCCUGACGCUCGGGGCCGUGGCCGUCUACCAGCAGAUGGUCGCUGCGAAAGCGUGGAGCAACAAUGCGAGUAUGAAUCCCAGCGGGAGCAGCUGGAGGGGAGCCGUGUUUAACCAAACGGUCAGAAGUCACCCUGGACCAGACUCCGAGGAGAACUCAGCGGUUGGGAGGUCCGGCUACACUCCACAUCCCUGGAAACCAGAGGUGUGUGUUUGUGUCCACACAUGAAAACACUGUGUUUUCCCUCUUUUGAACUACGAAUAACCCGCCCGGGCUUGCCCAAUUUCCUCCCACCUCAGUGCGCGUGCCUCUGCACACAGUGUGUUUCCUGCAGCGGGGUCGGCUUCAGUAGCCUCUGUCAUCAGCGCUGUGCUUUGUUCCAUUUCCUGCACCUUAUGUUUCGCUUUUGGGGGAAGCCCUUGUUGUAUCUGGCAAUCUUGCAUUAUAAUAUUUUAAUAGUUCCA
ensembl:lncRNA